UACGAAGGGUGCAAACGUUGCUCGGAAUUAUUGGGCGUAAAGCGCACGUAGGCGGCAUUGCAAGUCGGAUGUGAAAUCCCUCGGCUCAACCAAGGAAGUGCAUCCGAAACUGCUGUGCUUGAGUACUUAAGAGGAUCGCGGAAUUCCCGGUGUAGAGGUGAAAUUCGUAGAUAUCGGGAGGAACACCAGUGGCGAAGGCGGCGAUCUGGGAAGAUACUGACGCUGAGGUGCGAAAGCGUGGGGAGCGAACAGG
rnacentral:rRNA from 1 species